rnacentral:rRNA from 1 species
AUUGAACGCUGGCGGAAUGCUUUACACAUGCAAGUCGAACGGUAGAGGGGGCAACCCCUUGAGAGUGGCGAACGGGUGAGUAAUAUAUCGGAACGUGCCCAGUCGUGGGGAUAACGUAGCGAAAGUUACGCUAAUACCGCAUACGAUCUAAGGAUGAAAGCGGGGGACUCGCAAGAGCCUCGCGCGAUUGGAGCGGCCGAUAUCAGAUUAGGUAGUUGGUGGGGUAAAGGCUCACCAAGCCAACGAUCUGUAGCUGGUCUGAGAGGACGACCAGCCACACUGGAACUGAGACACGGUCCAGACUCCUACGGGAGGCAGCAGUGGGGAAUUUUGGACAAUGGGCGCAAGCCUGAUCCAGCAAUGCCGCGUGCAGGAUGAAGGCCUCGGUUGUAACU